UUUAUAUAACUCAGUAAAAUCUUUGAAAUUGUUGCAGGUGUUGUUGUUCAGUGUAAUUUAACUAAUUUAGGCCUUCCAUAACAAAGGUGGUGAAAAUUAUUCUAGACAUUUCAAUAACGUCCCCCAUUUAUAGUUGUUUAAAAAUCAACCUGAGUUCUAAGGAGGGAUGUGGGUAGGCCUAUACCCAGGGGAGGAUUGGCUAUCUGGCAGAUGCCAGACAGGCUGGACCAUUUUUUGUUGUUGGCUGGGCUGGUUGAAAUUGACCCCCCCCACACACACACACUUUUUUAAAUUUUAUUUAAACAGUGACAUGGCUGGUGGACUAUGGGCCUGUUAAGAUUUUUGCACAGUUCUGUUCUACUAAUCUAUAAUGAGCCUUUGCCUGAUCAGUGGGCAACGGCUGAGUUGACGUCACGCAAACCCGCAUUCAAAGUCAAAUGCGACAUCAGCAAAGAGACCUGCUCCGACUGUCAUCAGUUAGACAGCCAAGAUCAUGGAUCGUAAAAACGGAACGGGUGCUUAUAAACGUAGGAAGAGCUCAUUCUACAUUGUCACCUCACUCAAAACAUCCUAUUUUUUGGGUGGCUAAAACCAUGAAGUGCUUUUCCUCAUAAUUCCUGUAAUGAAAGUGUCUGCCCUGUACCUGAGCCCUCGCUGGGGCCUGCUGCUGUGAUGAGUAACCCCCCAUGCACUCAUGAAAAAAAGCAUUCUGAUUGCCCUGCAUUUGCAUUUUAUACAAUCAGUCCCUUGUCCCUGUCAAAGAGAGGGUCUCAGUUUUCUGUAGGUAUUUGUAUUAAUCAACUCUCAAUAUUCAGCUCAAUAGCAACUAUUUUACAACCAAGAUAUUUGAGAUAUGGAAUGGUGCACACUUUAAAUCCUCUCCGGCCAUGGAAAGGACAUAGGCCUAUAGAUCUCAUGGCCGGCCUGACCUUACCUACCUGGCCGGCUGGCCCUAUCUACAUGGCCGGACAUGGCUACCUACAACUGCUACUUUCUUUAGGACAUUAAAUGUACUGUUAUAUGAGUACAUAGCUACUAGAGGUGGGUAUUUUAUUUAGUUAGCGAAUUAAUUCAUGUGCUUUGAGUUUCCACUUCCGGUAUUGAACCCCAAAAUAAUUUUGCCUAUGAUAUUAGUAAGCUGUUGUGUUCGAGACAGAUUUCAGGACCAAGAUGGGAGCAAAUCGAGACAGAGUCAAGACCGGUAGAGGGACAAGAAAGAGACCGAGACCAGAAAAAUGUGAGUCCAGUUCAAGACCGUGAUUGUAAUUUUGUCAAAUCACCACCAUAACAGUUCAGAAUUACCAGUAUUUCUGUGUUCAUAUUUCAGAACAACAUGGAUUCUUUAGACAUUCUGAAUAGUGAAUAAAUGCAUGCGGAGGGAUAAUAGAGCCACUCUACAAAUUAUUACUAACCAAAACACAGUGGGGAACAAUGGGCAUUCUAUGUCAACAGAGGAGGGCUAAGGAUUUAUAAUAUAUAUAUAUAUAUAUAUUUUUUUUUUUUCAAUGAUGUUCUGAUUUUAAUCUCGUCAAUUUGUGUUGGAAAGGGCUAAUAAUGAACAGAAAAAAAAUAUUUGCUGGUCUCUGGAGAGCUAAAUCUAGCUAAGUCUGCCAUUGGCUAGGUCAUCAGAAGCUACUGUAGUAAAUGCAUCUGCCGUUCGACGGUAUUAGGGCAACAUUUUGGAGUGACAGUGGAAUCAACCAAUCACAUUUUGAUUUAAUGGAUGGGACCGUUUUUUACGAAAACGUAUGGAAACUUCUGCCUUCUUGUAGGUCAAUAGGUCACUGCGCAAUAGCGAGCGGUAGUUUUCCCACGGUCUCGCGAGCUAGCGUCUGUUGUUGGGUAAUUUGCAGCAGCUGCACCAGGUGUUAUCAAAGAUGAUGUUGUUGCUAAUUCGUUAGCUUCUCCCUUUUCAAGAAUAACUUUCAACAAGAAGUUCAGUUUCAAAUGAUCAUCAUCUGAAACACAAACAGGCAGAUCAGGUGCAAACAGGCCCCAGCCCUUGCAUCACCACUGGACACCAGAGCAGCUCCCUACCUGAGGCUAGUCAGAGUCAGUGUGGUCAGACUUCACAAGGACCCAGUCUACCACCGGCAGAUCUAUCAAGGGAUGACACAGAUACCUCUGGCUCUGAGCAAGACAGUGAGCCAGAGCUGCCAGGAGAUGUCAUCAAGCCCCUCCUAACUGCAUCAAGCACCAGAUAUGCUGUUCCAAAAGGACCCAAUGGACGGCCAGACCUAUACUUUAAACUACACAUUUUAGUUAGCUGCUGUUAGUAUCUAAUCUUGUUGAUCCCUUAAUUCUAUAUUUCCAUAGAGCUAUGACACAUUAUUUAACGUGUAUUGCAGACAUUUCAAGAUCCAGAGAAGAGGGUCCUGUACAGCCAUGUUUGAAAACAUUUCCCAGAACUCAGCAUGGUACAAGGAAAAGGGCUUUCAACAGCUCCUGGUAUAAGGACAAUUCAUGGCUUGAAUGUUCUGUAAGUCAAGAUUCAACUUAUUGUUUUGCCUGUUGGCAUUUUUCUCUGCCCAAUACACCUGAAUCUGCCUUCACAUCACAGUCAGGUUUUUGUGACUGGAAAAAGGCGCUCUUUAAAGAUUCUGGGUUUAAGCUCCAUUCGCAGGCAGAGCAUCAUUAUCAAUGCUAUAUAUGCUUGGAAUCAGUAUAAAAGGGCUAUUGACAGCAACUCAUCAAUGUUAGAUGUCAUAAAAGAGGACAGGAAAAAGAAAGUGGAGGAAAACUGUACUUACAAUUAAACAAUUUCAGAUGUGCUCCUAUUAACUACCACUCAAAAUAUAGCGCAGAAAGGCAAGUCUUAGAAGAAAUGGCAAAGCAUGAAAUGGCAAAGCAUGACCCUCUCAUAGAGAAAAGGAUGAAUGCAUGUGGCAUUGCUACUUACACAAGCCACCAAAUCCCGAAGGAAGUUCUUGAGGGCUUAGCUGAGAUGGUACAAAGUGAAAUAAUAAGAUACGUUUUUAGUGUAAUUGCAGAUUUUAAAGAAAAAAGAACAAAUGUCUUUAGUUGUGAGGUACUAUUACAACAGGGCCGUCCACAAAAGCUUUCAACACUUUCAGUCAGCUGAAAUCUUAAAUGCAGGUCUCACAAAAAUUAUAAUUGAUUGCCUUGAAAACAUGGUCUGGACUACAGAAAUAAUCUUGUGGGGCAAGGCUAUGACGGUGCAUCCGUCAUGAGCGGAAAGCAUUCUGGUGGGUCUGCACAGAUUAAAAACAUUACAAGAUUUGCAUUUUAUGUGCACUCUAAUGCACAUUGUUUGAAUUUGGUUCUUGUCGAUGCUGUCAAAUCAGUGCCUGACGCAGUUAACAUUUUUGCUCUCCUGCAGAAGCUUUAUUACUUUGAAUCUGGCUCGUACAUUCAUCUCAAGUGGCUUGCAGUUCAGAAAGAGCUGUAUCCACAGCAGCAGCCCAGGGAACUACAGAGACUUACAGAUGGAAGGUGGCAUGCUGUAAUUUGAGAGACAGGCUUCCAGCAGUUCUGAGAGUGCUACAGGAUAUCACACUUUAAAAUAGUUAUGAUAAAAGGCCCCUUGCCUCCACUGAUCUUUCUCAGAUUUACAUUUUAUAGGGCUUUUGAUUACCUUGCUAACUGUCUUUCUGACAUGCUCCAAUCAAGCUCUCUUGACCUAGCAAGGGAUGUGGAUCUAGUAGGUGCCCUUACAGACACAUUUUUUAUUUUAUUUUACCUUUAUUUAACUAGGCAAGUCAAUUAACAAAUUCUUAUUUUCAAUGACGGCCUAGGAACCGUGGGUUAACUGCCUUGUUCAGGGGCAGAACGACAGAUUUGUACCUUGUCAGCUCGGGGAUUCAAUCUUGCAAUCUUUCGGUUACUAGUCCAACGCUCUAACCACUAGGCUACGCUGCCGCCCCAUUACUGGACUACAGAGGUGAGGGUUACUUUGGAGAUCUAUGGAAAGAGGUUGAAGAGAUUGCAGAGCACUGCAAAAUAAGUGUACAAACAGUGUGUAAAAGACAGCCUAAAACAAGCUUAAGAUUUCACGACUCAUUGAUAAUGAGCACUGUAGGGCAGAGAUAGUGACCAAAGUGAUGGUGAGCGCUUCCAAAUAGUUAUCUUUUAUCAGGUGCUUGACAGUCUCACAGCUGAGCUGCAGAGGUGUUUUUCAAAGAAGAAUUGUGAGAUAAUGCAAGGGGUCCAAUCUCUCAACCCAAAGAGUACAACAUUCUUGAAUGAGGAGCCUCUGUUUGCCUUUGCUCAGACCUUUUAGAGUCAGAUUUAGAGGACCUCAAACAUCAAAUUUAUUUUUAUAUAGCCCUUCGUACAUCAGCUGAUAUUCUCAAAGUGCUGUACAGAAACCCAGCCUAAAACCCCAAACAG